AUAGGGUACUUUUCUUUCACUUUUCUCCUAAGAUACUCUUUGAGAACAAGAAGAUAUUGGAGGAUCCUGAUCUCUAUGCUAGAGAUCAUGAGAAGAACCCUUUGUUCUCUUUUCUUCCUAAAAUUCAUGCAUCAAAUCUCUACAAUGGAGAUGUAAUAAAUUUUAUCCAACUUUUGGACAAAAGGAGGAGGAGACAACCAUGUCCAAAUAUGGAUAAGAGGGAGAGA
rnacentral:lncRNA from 1 species